rnacentral:rRNA from 1 species
AACGUAGGAGGCGAGCGUCAUCCGGAUUCACUGGGCGUAAAGCGCGUGCAGGCGGCGUGGUAAGUUGGGUGUGAAAUCUCCCGGCUCAACUGGGAGAGGUCAUUCAAUACUACCGUGCUCGAGAGCAGAAGAGGAAGAUGGAAUUCCCGGUGUAGUGGUGAAAUGCGUAGAUAUCGGGAGGAACACCAGUGGCGAAGGCGAUCUUCUGGUCUGUUUCUGACACUCAGACGCGACAGCUAGGGUAGUAAACGGG